GCCAGUGUGGCAUAGUGGUUUGAGUGUUGGACUAGGACUCUGGAAACCAGGGUUCAAGUCCUCACUCAGCCA